rnacentral:rRNA from 1 species
CCUACGGGAGGCAGCAGUGGGGAAUAUUGCACAAUGGGCGAAAGCCUGAUGCAGCGACGCCGCGUGAGGGAUGACGGCCUUCGGGUUGUAAACCUCUUUCAGCAGGGAAGAAGCGAGAGUGACGGUACCUGCAGAAGAAGCGCCGGCUAACUACGUGCCAGCAGCCGCGGUAAUACGUAGGGCGCAAGCGUUGUCCGGAAUUAUUGGGCGUAAAGAGCUCGUAGGCGGCUUGUUGCGUCGGUUGUGAAAGCCCGGGGCUUAACCCCGGGUCUGCAGUCGAUACGGGCAGGCUAGAGUGUGGUAGGGGAGAUCGGAAUUCCUGGUGUAGCGGUGAAAUGCGCAGAUAUCAGGAGGAACACCGGUGGCGAAGGCGGAUCUCUGGGCCAUUACUGACGCUGAGGAGCGAAAGCGUGGGGAGCGAACAGGAUUAGAUACCCUGGUAGUCCACGCCGUAAACGUUGGGAACUAGGUGUUGGCGACAUUCCACGUCGUCGGUGCCGCAGCUAACGCAUUAAGUUCCCGCCUGGGGAGUACGGCCGCAAGGCUAAAACUCAAAUGAAUUGACGG